UACGUAGGCAGCAAGCGUUGUUCGGAGUUACUGGGCGUAAAGGGUGUGUAGGCGGUUCUUUAAGUUUGGUGUGAAAUCUCCCGGCUCAACUGGGAGGGUGCGCCGAAUACUGAGGGACUAGAGUACGGGAGAGGAAAGUGGAAUUCCUGGUGUAGCGGUGAAAUGCGUAGAUAUCAGGAGGAACACCUGCGGCGAAGGCGGGUCUCUGGACAGUUCCUGACGCUGAGGCACGAAGGUCAGGGGAGCAAACGGG
rnacentral:rRNA from 1 species